rnacentral:rRNA from 1 species
AUUGAACGCUGGCGGCAUGCCUUACACAUGCAAGUCGGACGGUAGCACAGAGAGCUUGCUCUCGGGUGACGAGUGGCGGACGGGUGAGUAAUGUCUGGGGAUCUGCCCGAUAGAGGGGGAUAACCACUGGAAACGGUGGCUAAUACCGCAUAACGUCGCAAGACCAAAGAGGGGGACCUUCGGGCCUCUCACUAUCGGAUGAACCCAGAUGGGAUUAGCUAGUAGGCGGGGUAAUGGCCCACCUAGGCGACGAUCCCUAGCUGGUCUGAGAGGAUGACCAGCCACACUGGAACUGAGACACGGUCCAGACUCCUACGGGAGGCAGCAGUGGGGAAUAUUGCACAAUGGGCGCAAGCCUGAUGCAGCCAUGCCGCGUGUAUGAAGAAGGCCUUCGGGUUGUAAAGUACUUUCAGCGGGGAGGAAGGCGAUGUGGUUAAUAACCUUGUCGAUUGACGUUACCCGCAGAAGAAGCACCGGCUAACUCCGUGCCAGCAGCCGCCGUAA